AGAGUUUGAUUAUGGCUCAGGAUGAACGCUAGCGGCAGGCUUAACACAUGCAAGUCGAGGGGCAUCGGGAGGAAAGCUUGCUUUCCUUGCCGGCGACCGGCGCACGGGUGAGUAACACGUAUGCAACCUGCCCUCUUCAGGGGGACAACCUUCCGAAAGGGAGGCUAAUCCCGCGUAUAUCGGUUUCGGGCAUCCGAGGUCGAGGAAAGAUUCAUCGGAAGAGGAUGGGCAUGCGGCGCAUUAGCUAGACGGCGGGGUAACGGCCCACCGUGGCGACGAUGCGUAGGGGUUCUGAGAGGAAGGUCCCCCACACUGGUACUGAGACACGGACCAGACUCCUACGGGAGGCAGCAGUGAGGAAUAUUGGUCAAUGGGAGAGAUCCUGAACCAGCCAAGCCGCGUGAGGGAAGACGGCCCUAUGGGUUGUAAACCUCUUUUGUCGGAGAACAAAACCCGGGACGUGUCCCGGACUGCGUGUAUCCGAAGAAAAAGCAUCGGCUAACUCCGUGCCAGCAGCCGCGGUAAUACGGAGGAUGCGAGCGUUAUCCGGAUUUAUUGGGUUUAAAGGGUGCGUAGGCGGUCCGUUAAGUCAGCGGUAAAAUUGCGGGGCUCAACCCCGUCGAGCCGUUGAAACUGGCAGACUUGAGCUGGCGAGAAGUACGCGGAAUGCGCGGUGUAGCGGUGAAAUGCAUAGAUAUCGCGCAGAACUCCGAUUGCGAAGGCAGCGUACCGGCGCCAGACUGACGCUGAGGCACGAAAGCGUGGGGAUCGAACAGGAUUAGAUACCCUGGUAGUCCACGCAGUAAACGAUGAAUGCUGGUUGUCCGGGUCGAAUGAGAUCUGGGCGGCGAAGCGAAAGCGAUAAGCAUUCCACCUGGGGAGUACGCCGGCAACGGUGAAACUCAAAGGAAUUGACGGGGGCCCGCACAAGCGGAGGAACAUGUGGUUUAAUUCGAUGAUACGCGAGGAACCUUACCCGGGCUCAAACGGGAGUGGAAUGGACCAGAGACGGUUCAGCCUACGGGUCGCUUCCGAGGUGCUGCAUGGUUGUCGUCAGCUCGUGCCGUGAGGUGUCGGCUUAAGUGCCAUAACGAGCGCAACCCCCGCCGGCAGUUGCUAACGGGCAAUGCCGAGGACUCUGCCGGGACUGCCGCCGCAAGGCGUGAGGAAGGCGGGGAUGACGUCAAAUCAGCACGGCCCUUACGUCCGGGGCGACACACGUGUUACAAUGGGCGGUACAGCGGGAAGCCAGGCGGCGACGCCGAGCGGGACCCGAAAGCCGUUCUCAGUUCGGAUCGGAGUCUGCAACCCGACUCCGUGAAGCUGGAUUCGCUAGUAAUCGCGCAUCAGCCAUGGCGCGGUGAAUACGUUCCCGGGCCUUGUACACACCGCCCGUCAAGCCAUGGGAGCCGGGGGUGCUUGAAGUGCGUCGCCGCGAGGCGCGCCCUAGAGCAAAACCGGUGACUGGGGCUAAGUCGUAACAAGGUAGC
rnacentral:rRNA from 1 species